rnacentral:rRNA from 1 species
GGAAACCGGAGCUAAUACCAGAUAACAUGUUGAACCGCAUGGUUCAACAGUGAAAGACGGUCUUGCUGUCACUUAUAGAUGGAUCCGCGCCGCAUUAGCUAGUUGGUAAGGUAACGGCUUACCAAGGCAACGAUGCGUAGCCGACCUGAGAGGGUGAUCGGCCACACUGGAACUGAGACACGGUCCAG